rnacentral:rRNA from 1 species
AGUGAACGCUGGCGGUAGGCCUAACACAUGCAAGUCGAACGGCAGCACAGGAGAGCUUGCUCUCUGGGUGGCGAGUGGCGGACGGGUGAGGAAUACAUCGGAAUCUACUCUGUCGUGGGGGAUAACGUAGGGAAACUUACGCUAUACCGCAUACGACCUACGGGUGAAAGCAGGGGACCUUCGGGCCUUGCGCGAUUGAAUGAGCCGAUGUCGGAUUAGCUAGCUGGCGGGGUAAAGGCCCACCAAGGCGACGAUCCGUAGCUGGUCUGAGAGGAUGAUCAGCCACACUGGAACUGAGACACGGUCCAGACUCCUACGGGAGGCAGCAGUGGGGAAUAUUGGACAAUGGGCGCAAGCCUGAUCCAGCCAUACCGCGUGGGUGAAGAAGGCCUUCGGGUUGUAAAGCCCUUUUGUUGGGAAAGAAAUCCAGCUGGCUAAUACCCGGUUGGGAUGACGGUACCCAAAGAAUAAGCACCGGCUAACUUCGUGCCAGCAGCCGCAGUAA